rnacentral:rRNA from 1 species
AACGAACGCUGGCGGCAUGCCUAACACAUGCAAGUCGAACGAGACCUUCGGGUCUAGUGGCGCACGGGUGCGUAACGCGUGGGAACCUGCCCUUAGGUUCGGAAUAACUCCCCGAAAGGGGUGCUAAUACCGGAUAAUGUCUUCGGACCAAAGAUUUAUCGCCUUUGGAUGGGCCCGCGUUGGAUUAGCUAGUUGGUAGGGUAAAAGCCUACCAAGGCGACGAUCCAUAGCUGGUCUGAGAGGAUGAUCAGCCACACUGGGACUGAGACACGGCCCAGACUCCUACGGGAGGCAGCAGUGGGGAAUAUUGGACUAUGGGCGAAAGCCUGAUCCAGCAAUGCCGCGUGAGUGAUGAAGGCCUUAGGGUUGUAAAGCUCUUUUACCCGGGAUGAUAAUGACAGUACCGGGAGAAUAAGCUCCGGCUAACUCCGUG